CAGUCGCCGCGGGAAUACGUAGGGUGCGAGCGUUGUUCGGAAUUACUGGGCGUAAAGGGUGCGUAGGCGGUUCGUUAAGUCUGUUGUGAAGGCCCCGGGCUCAACCUGGGAAUGGCAAUGGAUACUGGCGAGCUAGAGUGUGUCAGAGGGGGGUAGAAUUCCACGUGUAGCAGUGAAAUGCGUAGAGAUGUGGAGGAAUACCGAUGGCGAAGGCAGCCCCCCUGGGCCAAUACUGACGCUCAUGCACGAAAGCGUGGGGAGCAAACAGGAUUAGAGACCCCAGUAGUCCCUGUCUCUUAUU
rnacentral:rRNA from 1 species